AUGACCACUCUGGAAACAGCUGGAGACGAAUCAUCAUUUCAAUGGCCCCAAAAUCCUCGUCUUUCGCUGGAGGAUGACAUAGCUGUUGGGAACCAGUUCAAAAACAAAUCUGACUGUGUCUUUAUGAUAUCCAGGCAUAUUGCGCAAAAUUUUAUGAAGGAUAUCAAGGACCGUAUCCUCCGGAAAAAAAUAAUCAACAUGGGUAAGUACCUUUUAUGCAAACAUUACAUGCUCGUUGAUAGUAUACCAUUAUAUUAA